CCUGAACGCUGGCGGCGUGGCUAAGACAUGCAAGUCGCACGGAGCCGGGUAGCAAUACCCGGUUUAGUGGCGAACGGGUGAGUAAUGAAUCGCUAAUGUACCCCGGAUUCUGGGAUAGCCAGUCGAAAGGCUGGGUAAUACCAGAUGAUAUAACCGCUUCGCAUGAAGUGGUUCUCAAAGGAGCAAUCCGCUCUGGGAGCAGGCGAUUUCGAUCAGCUGUUGGUGAGGUAACCGGCUCACCAAGGCGACGACGCGUAGCCGAACUGAGAGGUUGGCC
rnacentral:rRNA from 1 species